CAAUAGCGUAUAUUAAAGCUGUUGCGGCUAGAAAGCUCGUAGUUGGAUUUCUGUCAAGGACAACUGGUCCGCCCCUCGGGUGAGCACAUAGUUUGGUCUUGGCAUCUUGUUGGAAACUGUUGCUGCACUUGGUUGUGUGGCGCAGUGUCCAGCACUUUCACUUUGAGGAAAUUGGAGUGUUUCAAGCAGGCACAUGCCUUUGGACACAGUAGCAUGGAAUAAUUAGAUUGGGCUUUUGCUCCAACUUGUCGGUUUCUGGAGCUGAGGUGAGAAUUAAUGGGGAUUGUUGGGGGCAUCCGAAUUUAGCCGUCAGAGGUGAAAUUCUUGGAUCUGCUAAAGACGGACAACUGCGAAAGCGUUUGCCCAGGAUGUUUUCAUUGA
rnacentral:rRNA from 1 species